rnacentral:lncRNA from 1 species
GAGAGUUAUAAUUAAAGAAUGAAUUACCUGGUCGCUGGAACCGAAGUCCAUCUCCAGUACCUAGGAGUGUUUCCCCAAACAAUGGAGAGACUUCUAGCAGAGAGCAUGUAGCAUUUUCUGGCGCUGGGUUUAUCGAGUGCAAAGCUCUGGUGAAUAAUUAUUAUCGUUAAUUCACAAUUAUUGAGAGAAAGCGAUUUGUUAUUUGAAUAACUACCUUUUGACCACCGUCGAUGAGGAGGGGAUUAUGACAUAGGUGGAGGUAGAGUUCCUUCUUGGAAGAGUAAGAAAGAGGUUUCGAGGAUUGGGAAACCAUGGCGUGCAAAUCGGAGGGGAGGAAUCUCUCCCAUACGACGUCGGAUUGUGCGGCGGAUCUGAAGGAAGAUGACAC